rnacentral:rRNA from 1 species
AGUGAACGCUGGCGGCGUGCCUAAUACAUGCAAGUCGAACGGAGUGGCGCACGGGUGAGUAAUGUAUAGCUAAUCUGCCCUACACUAGAGGAAAACAGUUGGAAACGGCUGCUAAUACUAUAUAGUUUAGGAUGGUGCUAUAUUGUAUCAGCUAGUUGGUGAGGUAAUGGCUAACCAAGGUUAUGACGCAUAACUGGUCUGAGAGGAUGAGCAGUCACACUGGAACGGAGGCACGGUCCAGACUCCUACGGGAAGGAGCGGUAGGGAGUAAUGCCCAAGGGGCGAAACCGUGAAGCAGCAACGCCGCGUAGAGGAUGACACUUUUCGGAGCGUAAACUCCUUUUGUUAGGGAAGCGGUACCUAACGAAUAAGCACCGGCUAACUCCGUGCCAGCCGCCGCGGUAAUAC